AUUGAACGCUGGCGGCAUGCCUUACACAUGCAAGUCGAACGGUAACGGGCCUUCGGGUGCCGACGAGUGGCGAACGGGUGAGUAAUGUAUCGGAACGUACCUUUCAGUGGGGGAUAACGUAGCGAAAGUUACGCUAAUACCGCAUAUUCUGUGAGCAGGAAAGCAGGGGAUCGCAAGACCUUGCGCUGAUUGAGCGGCCGAUAUCAGAUUAGCUAGUUGGUGAGGUAAAGGCUCACCAAGGCGACGAUCUGUAGCGGGUCUGAGAGGAUGAUCCGCCACACUGGAACUGAGACACGGUCCAGACUCCUACGGGAGGCAGCAGUGGGGAAUUUUGGACAAUGGGGGCAACCCUGAUCCAGCCAUGCCGCGUGAGUGGAGAAGGCC
rnacentral:rRNA from 1 species